rnacentral:rRNA from 1 species
AGUGAACGCUGGCGGUAGGCCUAACACAUGCAAGUCGAACGGCAGCACAGUAAGAGCUUGCUCUUACGGGUGGCGAGUGGCGGACGGGUGAGGAAUACAUCGGAAUCUACUUUUUCGUGGGGGAUAACGUAGGGAAACUUACGCUAAUACCGCAUACGACCUACGGGUGAAAGCAGGGGAUCUUCGGACCUUGCGCGAUUGAAUGAGCCGAUGUCGGAUUAGCUAGUUGGCGGGGUAAAGGCCCACCAAGGCGACGAUCCGUAGCUGGUCUGAGAGGAUGAUCAGCCACACUGGAACUGAGACACGGUCCAGACCCCUACGGGAGGCAGCAGUGGGGAAUAUUGGACAAUGGGCGCAAGCCUGAUCCAGCCAUACCGCGUGGGUGAAGAAGGCCUUCGGGUUGUAAAGCCCUUUUGUUGGGAAAGAAAAGCAGCAGGUUAAUACCCCGCUGUUCUGACGGUACCCAAAGAAUAAGCACCGGCUAGCUUCGUG